GGCAUCUUCAGCCAAAAGACUUGGAUAAGGUCCCAUUGUAGCCCCAUCUGUAUGGUGGAAUCUUCUGUUGUACUUUUAGCUGAGCCCCACCCCACAAGCUGAGCAAUAGCAAAAACUUUAUUAGCCACUUCCUAGGGCCCCUCACUACCAUAUUUGGUUGAAACAGAAAUUGGAACCUUGCACAUUUGGAUGACCAUAUGCUGUUCUUUAUGAAUAAACAUGUAAACCCCAAAAAUACACACGGGAAACUUGUAAGUUUUGAGAAUGCAUGCCAAACUAUUAAAAGGUACAUAUUUUACCACAUUUUUUUUUUUGAAACCCAUAAAUAAUAACAAGUUUCCUUAACCAUUGUGCUUACAGAGGACAUGAACCAAUUGGAUGAAGUCCAUGAUUGAAUCAAAUAUCCAAUGUGUAAUAUUAUAUAUUUAUAUAUAUAUAUUUUACAUU
rnacentral:lncRNA from 1 species